GGGGUUGUAUGUUGGAGGAGGGAAUAUGUAGGAAAUCAGGGUGACAUUUAAAGCUGAGGGUGCAUAGUGUCCCCCACCAGUGUUUCAGGGAGAAAUUUGAACUCGCAUUUGCACACAAACAGCAGGAUUUUAAGAGAGCCCAGGUGAAGGCGUCACCCUCAGAAUGGAAGGGGUGGGGAGAAGGGCCGGGGUGCAGUCUCAGGGAGGAGGUACCCUUAGCUGCAGAAUCACCGUCCUGCACGUGUGUACCUCUGCAAUGUGGUCAAAUAGAACGGCUGUGGACGCGACACCACCCAUUUGCCUUUUAAGUUAGCAAGCCCAAAGUAUGCUUUAAUGUUUACUUUUUAAGAUUUUUAGAAAAGGUAGAAGACGACUCUAUUUCCUAAUAUGGUAAUUACUGCUUUUGUCAAAAUGUGAAUGCUGCGUGCACAUUUCUGCAAUAGCAUUAGUGAACACCAUGUUGAAAUCACAUUUUUUUUUCCCUUUUCCUCCAAUUUUGUGGGAUUCUCGUUCCUUGUUGAGGCACCCUUGGCUAAUGGGAAAAGCACUGGAUCUGUGAAAAGAUGGCCAUCUCUGAACCAGGGAGAGGAUCCUCACCAGACACCAAAUCUGAUGUCUUGAUCUUGGACUUCUUAGCCUUCAAAAUGACCCCAGAAAUGCCAAUGAUCCAGCUUCAGUGAUGCAAAUGAAGACCUCAGGGAUCAACAGAGCAAUGAGAGAAGGAACCUAGGUCCCUGAAUGACUCUGGAGCAGAGAUGCCCCAGACAUCUUACCAUGCCCCUUACCUCGAAUGGUAGAAGGUAUUCAUAGAAAUAGCUGUGGAAUGGCAGAAAAACCAUUAGGAAGAAGUUGAACUGCCUUAACUUCAAGUCUGAGGCUUUCAUUAGCUGGGUGGUCUCCAAAAACUGGACUGACCUCUUUGGCCUUCACCAUCCUCACCCAUGAUGAAGGAGAUGAGGACGCAGACACAACAGAGGAAAGACCAUGUGAUCACACAGAGAAGAUGGUAGUCUACAAGCAAUGUACAGGGACCUCAGAAGGAACCAACCCUGCUGGCACCUUGAUCUUGGACCUCUAGCCUCCAGGACUGUG
rnacentral:lncRNA from 1 species